rnacentral:rRNA from 1 species
UACGGAGGGGGCUAGCGUUGUUCGGAAUUACUGGGCGUAAAGCGCACGUAGGCGGCUUUGUAAGUUAGAGGUGAAAGCCCGGGGCUCAACCCCGGAAUUGCCUUUAAGACUGCAUCGCUAGAAUUGUGGAGAGGUGAGUGGAAUUCCGAGUGUAGAGGUGAAAUUCGUAGAUAUUCGGAAGAACACCAGUGGCGAAGGCGACUUACUGGACACAUAUUGACGCUGAGGUGCGAAAGCGUGGGGAGCAAACAGG